AAUCGUCAAUAAAAAUGCCUGCCAUGAGGGUAGAACUUGAUUAAUAUUAUACAGAGAUAACCAUGAUUACAUGCUUCGACACGACAAUAACAUAUAGCAGUGGGAGAACAAAAGACAGGACAUUAGCAUGCAGCUUACACGUGUUCGUACUACUUAAUGUAAUCACGAAAUUAGACUCUCCCCAUUACAGGACUCUACACUAAAACUAAGUGCUCAUCUCGCGAAGAUUAAGAACAGGAUAGCCGCAACAAGGAGUUGGUUGGUGCAAGCCAAAAGCAGCACCGUGCGUUGGCUGUCCGUCGAGCAGCAGUGCGGUGCAGCGCAGGGGGGCGUCCCUGAGCUUGUUGGAUCUUUGCCUGGCAGCUGUGGACGAAGUUGUGCUCGCGCCUGGAUCUAUGGUGAAGCACGUGGGACUGGGACAUGCCAUGGCGAGUCAACUCCGGCAGGUACGUGUGAACGUGUCCGUGGAUCUCAAAAAACUGGCAUGACCCAGCCUGCAUGAAUGAGAUUGAAGUUCAGCAAAAAGGGAUCUGGCUGCGAGAAAAUGAUUUAUGCUGCUAAAGAAAUCUUACAUCCCGGCUCGAGAGAUAAAGUUGACCACCUUGUCGCCAAUGGAUCAGCGGCAGUACCCGUCGGCCGGAGAAGAAGAUAAGUGGUCAUCUUUCCCGAUCUGGUCCUUGCCGAGGAGGGUGAAGAAGACGAUGAGAGGGAGGCAGAGGGGAACGAAUCUUCGGGAGAGAGGCUGUAUGGAUUGCCUGGCGUGCACAACUAAAUUAAUGGGG
rnacentral:lncRNA from 1 species